CAUCUUACACGUCCCGCUUGUGCUUUACAGCGGCACCUGAGGCGGCCAGAUUUCGCAUUACCGCGGCCGUGUCGUGCUCGACAGAGACGAGUGUGCGAGGCCCAGAGUUCGGGUGGUCUGAAUCGGUGAGCCCUGCUCCAGCUGCUGAUGGUGUGGCUGAAGAGGAUGUGGCCCAGGAUCUUCCCCGUGCCCCAACACCUCAUGCCGCAGCUGCGAGAUGGGGGCAACCGGCAGGCCGAGGCACUGGAAUUACCAGCCGCAAACACCAGGCGGCAGGGCCAGGCAUCAUUGGAAAGCUGCGCCAGGUUCAACUUCUCGGUGAC